rnacentral:lncRNA from 1 species
GAUGUUUCUGCCGCGGGCAGGACCCCCCCUCCCGGGCCCCCAUUGGAAGUGGGAAGCAGUGAGGGCCACAGAUCAGGGAGGCCACGGGAAAGGGCAGCCCAGCAUCCGGCUGGCUUUAGCUGCCUCUGGAGAGUUGGGAGGACUGGUGCAGGCCCAAGCCUGGCUCCCACAGCCAUCCCGGAGCACAGUUGGCUCAGCAGAGUCCUCUGCUCCCCAGGGAAACCUGUUUGAUUUUCUUCGUCUGACUGAAUGGCGAGGGCCACGUGUGCUCUACUUCGGUGACCACCUUUACAGUGACCUGGCGGUGAGGGGGUUGGACUUUUACCCAGGGAAGGGAGGGAGGGAGGGGGGAGCC